CUUGUGCAUUGCAGGUAAGGUGAAGGAGGGAACUCGUUGCUGUUGUGCAGUUCUGCAGCAGGCAAGACCUGAGCUGCAUAAAAAAAAGCAUUUAUCUAUGGUAAUGUUUUUGUCACCUUUUUGAUACUUUAGAAAUAUUCCUAAUUCACUGUCUUCCAGGUAGAGAAGUUAUUUCUAUUAUAUAAAUGAUAUUAAAUAUGUAUAUUAAAAUGUAAUGUCCUUUGGACAGUUCUAACUUGUGGGAUGAAAUGGCAAGGCAGAUGGGGAAAAUGUCUGUGGGAACAGGGGAGUAACUGGAAGAUAAGUGAAAAAAACAGGAUCUGACUAUUAAAGACAUCUGGGAGGUUUGUAUGUCUAAAAAAUUUGGGGAUUUACAAUCACAACAUGCUAUAAAACUGGAGUUGCAAAUCAAACUUCUCUUACUUUAUAUGCCUUGCAGGGGGAGUGAGCCAUGUUUUGUGAGUCAAACACAGAACAAAAUAGAAACCCCCAAAACACCCCAAGCACACUGGGAAGUCACCCAGAGAGAAGAGAUUACGUUUAGAAGAGCUUUUGUUCCCAGUGAGCUAAAGAUAUUAAUACGCAUCUGGUAUACAAUGAUAUCAGCAUACUGAAUUGCAGGAAGAGCAGGUUAUUGGGGAGUCAGGAUCUGUUGUUGAGAUUUGUUUGUACUCAGUAUUUAGCAAAAAGAAAAGGAAUAUAAUUAGAAGACUGUGAACUGGGGUAAGAGUUGUUUCUUCUAAAGAAGAAACAAUGAGGAGAGGAUGUCUGCUGAAAUAGUCUCUUCAUGCAGGCAGCUCAGAGAUGUCCACGGAAGGAAAUCUGUUCAGUAGCCCAUAAUCGCUCUGAGUUCCAUGUAGAUGUUGAUCUUUUGUUCAGCUGAUUUCCUUUUGGUAGCUGUUUUCUGCUUUGCAAUCAAGAGAUAGAAUAAACGGGACUCCUGCUUUUCCUUAUUCUUAUCGAACGACAGAGGAAUCUUAAGGCCAGGUGUUGGUGUAUGCUAGUUGCUCUCCAGGGAACAAAAGCAGCAAGCAGGUGGAGACAGAAUGGUUCGCUUCCAAAUGUUUCAGAGUUCUUGGGCUUGGGAUGUGUUACCUCCUAGCUCAGUUCGACGCAAGGUGGUGGCUUGCAAAAGGAAGCCUCCCAUGGCAGCCUUCAGCCAGCAUAGCUUUACCAGGCUCCCGUUGAAAUGAAGUGAGCGUUUAACUCAGAUGAUAACUGUGUGUCUUGUGGGUUCCUUCACAUCUCCAGUCCGGUUACUGGGAAGUUUUCUCCUCCAACCACCCUUUGACUGUCUAUAAAUAAGUGUAACAAAAAGGGUACUGAGUACUAAUUCACAGUGAAUCACAGCUGAACAGUAUGAUCAGUGAAACAAAAGAAUUUGUGAAGAACUUGAAAGAGAAUACCACUCAUCAUCAUGGACAGCUGAUGAAGAAGACGGAACCAGGGAAGAGUGGUUGAGAUUCUUUUUUUCUAGUUAAAGGAAGCAGGAGAUGUUCUUGCUCUAGCAAACAGCACUGACAUGAUCAAGAAUCUCUGAAAAUCCCUGGAGAGAUCUCUCCAAGUGAGCAUUGAAUUAACUUCCUUUCCUACUGUUCCACUCUGUACAAAAGAAG
ensembl:lncRNA